ensembl:snRNA U6 U6 spliceosomal RNA
GUGCUUGACUCUUUAGCACAUUUGCUAAAGCUGAAAUGAUACAGAGCAGGUUAGCAUGGGCCUUAGGCAAGGGUGACAUGCACAUCUGAGCAGUGUGCCAUAUUAAA